CCCUAGUCGAUGGCUAACGGGUUAAUAUUCCCGUACUACUAAUUACUGUGAUGGGGUGACGGAGUGAUGAAAGCGCCGCGAACUGACGGAAUAGUUCGUUGAAGUACCUACCUAUAAGAUCUGCAGGCAAAUCCACAGAUCUUGGGGAAAUACGAUAGUACUCGGAGUCUUCGGACAAAGAGAUAGUGCGCCUAAGGGCUUCCAAGAAAAACCUCUAAACUUCAGGUAAUUAGUACCAGUACCGUAAACCGACACAGGUAGUUGAGGAGAGAAUCCUAAGGUGCUCGAGAGAUUCAUGGCUAAGGAAUUAGGCAAAAUAGACCUGUAACUUCGGGAGAAAGGUCGCCAGCGCAAGCUGGCCGCAGUGAAGAGGUCCAGGCGACUGUUUAUCAAAAACACAGGGCUCUGCAAAAUCGUAAGAUGAAGUAUAGGGCCUGACACCUGCCCGGUGCUGGAAGGUUAAGAGGAGAUGUUAUCUUCGGAGAAGCAUUGAAUUGAAGCCCCAGUAAACGGCGGCCGUAACAAUAACGGUCCUAAGGUAGCGAAAUUCCUUGUCGGGUAAGUUCCGACCUGCACGAAUGGUGUAACGAUCUGGACACUGUCUCAGCCAUGAGCUCGGUGAAAUUGUAGUAACGGUGAAGAUGCCGUUUACCCGCAGUGGGACGAAAAGACCCUGUGCACCUUUACUAUAGCUUAGUAUUGACCUUGGAUAAAUGAUGUGUAGGAUAGGUUGGAGACUGUGAAGUGGCGUCGCCAGGCGUUGUGGAGUCGUUGUUGAAAUACAACCCUUUGUUUAUCUGAGGCCUAACCCCAUAUUGUGGGGGACAUUGCUUGGUGGGUAGUUUGACUGGGGUGGUCGCCUCCAAAAGAGUAACGGAGGCUUCUAAAGGUUCCCUCAGUACGCUUGGUAACCGUGCGUAGAGUGCAAUGGCAUAAGGGAGCUUGACUGAGAGACAUACAGGUCGAUCAGGUACGAAAGUAGAGCAUAGUGAUCCGGUGGUUCCGCAUGGAAGGGCCAUCGCUCAAAGGAUAAAAGGUACGCCGGGGAUAACAGGCUGAUCUCCCCCAAGAGCUCAUAUCGACGGGGGGGUUUGGCACCUCGAUGUCGGCUCGUCACAUCCUGGGGCUGGAGAAGGUCCCAAGGGUUGGGCUGUUCGCCCAUUAAAGUGGCACGCGAGCUGGGUUCAGAACGUCGUGAGACAGUUCGGUCUCUAUCUACUGUGGGCGUUAGAAAUUUGAGUGGAUCUGAUUCUAGUACGAGAGGACCGAAUUGGACAAACCUCUAGUGUAUCUGUUGUCCCGCCAGGGGCACCGCAGAGUAGCUACGUUUGGAAGGGAUAAGCGCUGAAAGCAUAUAAGCGCGAAACCCACCACAAGAUGAGAUUUCUUUUAAGGAUCGUGGAAGAUGACCACGUUGAUAGGCUAUAGAUGUAAAGGCAGUAAUGUCAUAGUCGAGUAGUACUAAUAAUUC
rnacentral:rRNA from 1 species